GAUGAACGCUGGCGGUAUGCUUAACACAUGCAAGUCGAACGGACUCUUCGGAGUUAGUGGCGGACGGGUGAGUAACGCGUGAGAAUCUGGCUUUGGGUUCGGGACAACCACUGGAAACGGUGGCUAAUACCGGAUGUGCCGAGAGGUAAAAGAGAAAUUGCCUGAAGAUGAGCUCGCGUCUGAUUAGCUAGUUGGUGAGGUAAAGGCUCACCAAGGCAGCGAUCAGUAGCUGGUCUGAGAGGAUGACCAGCCACACUGGGACUGAGACACGGCCCAGACUCCUGCGGGAGGCAGCAGUGGGGGAUAUUGCACAAUGGGCGAAAGCCUGACGGAGCAAUACCGCGUGAGGGAAGAAGGCUCUUGGGUUGUAAACCUCUUUUCUUAGGGAAGAACAAAAUGACGGUACCUAAGGAAUCAGCAUCGGCUAACUCCGUG
rnacentral:rRNA from 1 species